GUAAUCAAUAAUUUUGAGUGUUUAUACGUAUGAACGUAACUGUGGGGAUUUUAUUUACUGUCAUAACAUCAGCAAACUGUUAUUUGCAUUCAGUUGCGUGGUACUAGGCUGUUGGAAAUAUGUUCAUAAUGUAUGUGUAAAGUAAAUAUGGCCAGUGAAACAGCAUGUGUGUUUGUCCUCAGUACCCUGAGCCUCACCUCUCUCCUUCUUACAGUCUCUCUUUAAUCCGCUGACAACGGAGCUUGUGUCACAAAGCAGUCAGUCUUAGAAAUAGUUUUGGUCUUGCAGGAAUCCUGCUGAAAGACACUGAGGUCCACGUAGAUGGCCUGGAAUACGAGUAACUUCCUAGUUCUCUGAUUUACCCCCACAUAGGAACAAUUUUAGACUUUUAAAUAAUUGCUUAUGAAUCAUCUGGAGGGCUGGUAAAGGAAGAUGUGUGGCACUCGUUUUCAUGCCAACAUUUUUCUCCGACUGUGAUAGGGUAUUAACAAAUUGUAAUCAAGGGAGAAAAACACUUGCAUGAACAUCUGCAGGAGCACUGGGAACCUCACCGAGAAUAGAAGUGGCCCAAAACAUGGAAUUCUUUGCUUUCUUUUCUUGUUAGAAUUUUUUGGCUUUGUGUUACCUUUUCAUGACAUUAUUUCUUUCCUUGAAUCAUUGGCCUUUUAUUCCUAUCUCAAUGACUGCACUUCUGUCCAUGAUUUUACUUUUUCUUAUCUUGCAUAGCUUUAAGCUUGUACGCUUUCUCACGCCUUAACAGCAGUCUUCUCAGCACGACAAAGCUGAGGUUACACACCUCUGUUGUAUUAAAUUAGGCUUUGGAUCACAGCCUGAAAUGCUACGCUGAGUGUUACAGAGGGCUGGAAGAAGUGUCCCCACUACACUCUUUGUUUUAAUGUGGUCUGCACUGUGACACGAGCGUGAGAUAUGUACUCUACAGAGGUGGGGUUUCUUCAGGCUCGUCAUGAAAUAUAUUUGAUGUUUGUUCUGUUCUGUGGCUGCAUGCUCUCAAAUUUCCUUUCCGAGAACAUUCAAAAGAUGAGGGGCAGUGUCCUAAUAGAGCACAACUCAUUCCUGUCACUGAGGCUCUUCUUGCUAACUUUUGCCCGCUUGUUUGCAUGAGAGCACAAGCCAUUACCGUUUACUUGGUGUCAUCAAGCUGUAAUGAUUCAGCUCUGAAAAGCUGUAUUUACAGUCAGCCAAAUGAAACACACAAGUACACGAUAUGAAACCAGACUGGAAGAAUUGCUGGAGUGUUAAUUUACUACCUGGUAUCUGUCUCCUGGAGGAAGAGGAAAAAAAAAAAUGGAAACCAGUAGUCUCCCACUGGAAUCUUGGCUUGAGGCUUACCAGUUCAUACCAGCCUUAUUUGUGAUGAUCUCUCAUGAUGCUGGAGCCUGCAUAACCUCCUGCUGAAGAAGACCUGGCUAAUACUGACGCGCUCCCACUGACCUUGUGUAUUUCCAGAUAUAGUCCAUGAGAACGUUUUGUCCUGCCUUUAAAAUACUGUCUACUGUACAUGUCAAAGUAACAACAUCCAGUCAGACUUUGCAUGACAUGAGGCAAAAACAGGAUUUUCUAGCAUGGUGGCUUCAGGGAGGAAUUUAGGAAUGGUGCAUUGCGGAAUGACUUAAUGUGAGCUCUCAUGAUGAUCAGAGGGAGCACUACUGGGGGAAGUUCACAAAUGGAGUUUUGAAGGAGCUAUUUAAAAUGAUAAUAUGGGAACACUUGGGUUUUGACGUGGGCAGCGGUGGGAGCGUUCUGUGAACUUGACUGGCGUAGCUUCAUUUUGCGUUGUGGUGCGACCCACCAGAUGAAAGAGGGCACAGUUAAGUUGCAGAGUCCGUCAGUUGCACAGGCCAUGUUCCUUGCAAACGAAACCCUCUGUGCUAUGGUCAGUUGAUGCACAAGAAUCACAUCCACAGGCCCACAGUCCAUCCCACUCGGCUCCAGGGUGAUCAACACUUACCCGUAAUGAUUCCACCAUCUGCAACAACCCCUGUCAGCGAUGCUGCACUUUUGCCAAGCGUGGCUUCUCAGGAAAUCUGGAGGUCACAAGUUCCAGGCUAUUCUGGAUCAGUCACACGGCACAUAAGUCAUCGGGCCAACAACUUCAAGAGACAUCCAAAAAGGAGAAAACACAUCCGCCCUUCGCCGCCGCCACCACCAAAUACUCCCUGUCCUAUUGAUUUGAUUGAUUUUGAGGAUCUCCAACCUCAGAGGUCUUUCCUAGAACUCUUGUUUAACGGGUGCAUUCUCUUUGGGCUUGAGUUCAGCUAUGCCAUGGAAACAGCCUAUGUUACCCCUGUGCUGCUUCAGAUGGGGCUUCCAGACCAACUGUACGGAAUGGUGUGGUUCAUCAGCCCCAUAUUAGGGUUCUUGUUACAGCCUUUACUGGGGGCCUGGAGUGACAGAUGCACAUCAAGAUUCGGGAGGAGAAGACCUUUCAUUCUGGUCUUAGCAGUAGGAGCAUUGCUUGGGCUCUCACUUAUGCUGAAUGGCAAAGAUAUAGGGAGCACCUUGUCUGACACUGCGAAUAACCACAAAUGGGGGAUCAUUCUUACAGUCUGUGGUGUUGUCCUCAUGGACUUCAGUGCAGAUUCAGCAGACAAUCCCAGUCAUGCCUACAUGAUGGAUGUAUGCAGCCCAGUGGAUCAAGACAGGGGCCUCAACAUCCAUGCUUUGUUAGCAGGUCUUGGAGGUGGCUUUGGUUAUGUUGUUGGAGGAAUACACUGGGAUAAAACCAGUUUUGGAAAAGCUGUGGGAGGGCAACUUCGCGUCAUCUAUAUCUUCACCUCAGUUAUACUGACUAUCACUACUGUGCUGACUCUAAUUAGCAUUCCAGAAAGACCCUUAAGGUCCUUUAGCAGGAAGAAAAAGGUGAUGAAGAGUCCAAGUCUUCCUCUCCCUCCUUCUCCACCUUUCUUCUUUGAGGAGGGUGUAAACGAAAACUUUGCUUCUCAUAACUCAGCUCACUUACACGCAAGUUUUACGAGUCCCGUUUCUCCCCUCAGCCCACUCACGCCCAAAUAUGGCAGUUUUGUCAGCAGAGACAAUUCCUUGACGGGAAUUAAUGAGUUUGCAUCAUCAUUUGGGACUUCAAAUAUUGACAGUGUGCUUAUAGACUGUUUUACAGGCGGGCACAGUAGUUACUUAGCACUUCCAGCUAGCUUGCCCAGGCAGCCUGUCAGUGUCAGCUUUCCUCGGGUGCCUGAUGGCUGUUACCAAGGAGAAAAUGGAGUUCUGGAGCAAGGGGAGAGCAGCAUAACGCCGGGGCCUGAUGGCGAGGCACUACGGGUGGGCUCACUGGAUGCGAUAAAGCCACGGUCAUCAGGGAUCCUGAAAAGACCUCAGACCUUGGCCAUUCCAGAUAUCGUAACAGGACACUGUCCAGAAAACAGCAGAAGAAGAAAUGUAACCUUCAGCCAACAGGUUGCUAAUAUCUUGUUGAAUGGUGUUAAGUAUGAGAGCGAGCUGAAUGGAUCAGGCGAGACCUCUGAGCAACCACUGUCUGUGAAACUGCUUUGUUCGACCAUCUGCCGGAUGCCCAAGGCUCUUCGUAACCUCUGCAUCAACCACUUCCUAGGAUGGCUUUCGUUUGAGGGGAUGUUACUCUUCUAUACUGACUUCAUGGGAGAAGUAGUGUUUCAAGGGGAUCCGAAAGCGCCUCACAGCUCAGAUGAGUAUCAGAAGUACAACGCUGGGGUCACCAUGGGCUGCUGGGGAAUGUGCAUCUAUGCAUUCAGUGCUGCUUUCUAUUCAGCCCUGCUGGAGAAGCUGGAGGAGCGGUUCAGCACACGGACGCUGUAUUUUGUGGCAUAUUUGGCCUUCGGGCUGGGCACAGGGCUGGCCACGCUCUCCAGAAACAUCUAUGUGGUACUGUCACUGUGCGCUACCUACGGCAUCCUCUUUGCCACGCUCUGCACGCUGCCCUACUCCCUGCUCUGCGACUACUACCAGAGCCAUGAGUUCGUAGGCUCACAGGCGGAGGGCACGCGGCGCGGGAUGGGCGUUGACAUCUCCCUGCUGAGCUGCCAGUACUUCUUGGCGCAGAUCCUCGUGGCCUUGGCCAUGGGGCCGCUGACAGCGGCUGUGGGCAGCGCCAGUGGUGCCAUGUACUUCGCCAGCCUGGUGUCCUUCCUGGGCUGUCUCUUCUCCUCCCUCUGCGUCACCUAUGAGUCGCCGCCCAGCGAGGAGGUGCCACCCGCCGAGGAGCAGCGCCCGCUCUUGCCCCGUGCACGGAAUGAAUAAGUGGGAGAAAGCCACCACAGCCUCUACUGCCUCAUUGCAUCGCCCUCGGCCUCCCCAUCACGGUGUGGUGGGCUCAUGCGCCUCUGGGACGGCAGCGGAGGACAUGGUGAACGGCAGGAAGGUCUGUGCUGUCUUCGCUGAGCUUUUCCCUGCCCGCGGGCAGGGGCAAGUCAGUGGUGCCUGGCACUGCUCAUCCUUCCCCUGAGGUGGCAAAGGCCCAUCUGUGCCCCUGGGGUGACAGCAACAGGAAGCGGUGAUGUCAGCGUGGGGCCAUUCCCUCCAGCUGCCCCGCGGUACCAUCAUUCCCGGGGAGACGAGUGGCAAUGUCCAGCUUGAGGCAUGGGACCUGGAAGUCUGUUGCCCAGGCAGGGUGACAGCGAACUGCAGGGCUGCACGUGCUGCUGCGGGCACCGCCACUGCGGGAGUGCUGGGGCCACAGUGCUCCACCAGCUUCAUUGGUCAGAAGGUGCCAUCACACGGCCCUGCUGAGCGGCCCAGUCCUCAGUUGCCGAGGGCAGCGGUGACUCCUGUGAGGCCUUGGGGAGCAACAAGGCCAUCCUGCAAGUUCCAUCCUCUGCCCAUGGUAGGCCUGGCUCUGGGGGGUGUGUUUCAAAACUCUGGGAAGGCUGAGCAUGACUGGUCUUGCUCAGGUGGCGUAAGUACUCUGUCAAGCACCAUAGCCAGUCUCCUGGGUGCGCAGAGCUCCCACCAGCAGAAUUGCUCCAAGGAGCUGCUGUGGGGUGAAACCACAGUGGCCUGGCUCCCAAACCCUGCCCUGUAGGUUCUGGCUGUGAUCCAUGGUGAUGGUUGCCAAUACAUGCAUAUUUCCUUCCACGUUAGACUUUUAACUAAGACUACAAGGGCUUGUGAUGACUUAGCAGGAGGACCGACAGUUGUCUGUAACCCAGCCUUGGGGAGAGGGGUCUCUUUGCAUCAACUUCCUUGGGUAGAAGCUUGCUCUCGAGUUGAAAAUUUAAGAAGAAUUAUUUGUGUGAAAGUCUGCAGCACAUCAUCCUUGUUUUUCAUACAGUUGUACUUUGUGACAUUUUGAAAUCUGCAUGGGGAUCGGUGAUUAAGUACUUGUCAGCUAGAGCUGCAUCUUCCAUAUCUCACUUAAACUAGUAAAAGGGCUUUGUCAUUAUCUAUGAGAAUUCUUAAUUAUUCUGGUUUUGGAAGGUGGUGAAUGUGUGAGAUCUCUUAAAAAUUCCAGUUAAGCCCAGGAGUCUUUUAGGUCUUGAGAGCAAAGAUGAAAAUGGAAAUAAAGUUAAAACUAGGAUUUCUGUCAGCCUGCCUCUGUUAUUUGGGUAGGCAGCCAAGGUUUACCAAAGCUGAUGGGCAUUUGGGUGUUUACCUGUGUCGUGCAUUGCAUCCCUGUAGAGGUUAUUUUUGCUCACCUGGUCUUUAGGUCCAGAAAAAGGAUUUUCUCUGGAGGGUCACUACUUUUAAAUGAGCUGUACUUGAAUGUUCACCCAGGUUUAAUCUGAUGCUUGAUGCCAAGAUGAGUAACCUGUGUAAACUUUAGCUGUUAUGGUUUACUAUACUCCAAUGCUGAAAGCAUAAUGCACGACCUGUGAAAGGUUCUUGUAAGAACCUCUCGUUUUUAUCAUCUAUCCCUGAGUGUUACUGGUUUUUUACUUGAGAAGCAAGUUUCAUGAUACUCGGUAUUUAGUUAAGUGGAGGAGCACUACUGAAGUUACAAAGUCAAGCACUCAAGAGGUAAAAGACAGUCAGAUUGAUGAGUCUGUUCAUCUUUCUUUUCUUUCUUUGGGCUUACAUAGUGUCAUAUCUGCAGGAAUGUCUGUGACAUGCCGUUUCCUUGAUCCGGGGGCAGUUGUCUCCAAGAACGUUCAGGAUGAAGCUGAAACAAAAUAGCAUGAGAAACUGGUACAUUUGGCGCUUCUGAUUUCUGACAAUCUAAAGACUUGCCUUUUGAGAAAUUUUCUUUUCUUAUUCAUCUGCUGUAUAACCUUAAUUUCUCUUCCUUAUCUUACCGAUCUUUUCAACUCAAAAAUGUUUUUUUUUUGUCCCACUAGCUAAUGCAGUACUGGUUCUUAGAAUGCUUUCUCCUCUUAAGUUUUUUAGCCAGUAUUAUUGCACUAAAUGCAUCAGGAGCACUUUUCUUUUUCUAGGUAGCUGGAGUUGCAGAUCAUUUUGUUGUAAGCAAGGUUCUCCAAAAGAGUCACAGAAUUGAUGAAAUCAAUGUAUCUGAUGGUAAUCUUUGUCUCUGCUUCCAUCUGUAAAUAAUAUUAUGAAAUGUAUUUAUAUAGUUAUAGAACUAUUGCUAUGCCCCUAUGCACUGCCUAAUAGAAUAUAUAUUACAUUUUCUAUUUUAUGGGAUAUGGACUUUAUUUUCCGUAUGUAUUUAUGUAGUGUUUACAUACAUAGUACUUUUAAGUCAGCAUCAAUGUAUGUUAAUUUGGGGCUUUGAGCACUACUGGUGGUGUCUGGAAAAAAUCCAUGCAGAGCUGGAAGUUGCACCAAAUCCAUAGAAAUAACUUAAAAAGAGGCAUUGCUUACUUGCUUAUUCUUUGACAUACAUUUUGUUUUUUACAGAAAUUACUGUAUGUGGUCACUGUUGAACUGUGAGCUGCAAAGUGAUGUUUACCUUUUGGAAUCCAAAUGCUUCAAAUAUUCAGUCUAAAUCUGCGAGCUGCUGUUUAGAAGUAAGAUGCAUGAGUUUAGGCAGGAAUGUGAUUUUAUCUUAUGCUGUAGUUUAAUCUCUUCAGCGGUGCCCAAAGGUUAAUUUUGAUUAAGUCCUUAUCAUUAAAGGUUGCUUGAUGGCAGUUAUUUGUGGAUGUUCAUAAAUGUAGUUAUAGCAUCUGUACAGAAGUAGGGAAAAUGGGGAGAGGGAUGGAGAAAGCACCUAAUCAAUUGUGUCAUGUUUGUAAUUAAGCUGGCUAUAACCAUUUCAGCGUGUGUCUGCAGUUCACUUGACCUCUGCUGUGUCUCUCAGAAAAGACAACCUACCAUUUUUGGAACUUCUGCUGUAUCUUUGAAUGAAGAAAAUAAGCCUUUUCAAGAAUCAAAUCAAAUAAACAUGCAUGACUUUUAUAUUAAAAAAAGGAAAAUUACUGUGCGAACUAUUUGAAGAGAGUUGUCUAGACAUUUUCUACUAAUGAGUACUUAGUCAUCUUGUACUCUAUAGGACAUGUACUUUAUUUUAUUAAAAAAAGAAUUUGUCUUCGGGUAAAAGGUGGCUUUCUUAAUGUAUGUUCUUCCUCCCUCAGACUGGAAUACAGCCUUAGUGAGAGACUUUUAGAUGCCAUUACCAUAACAACACCCAAUGGAUUGCAGUAAACAUCUUGAGACUUCUACAACUACUAGAGCUGAAAUGCCAAGGGAAAUCUUCACUCCAUUCAAUUUAUAUAAAUUUACAUUUUCUAUACCUCUGGUUGUUAAGACAUAAUGAUUCAUUUAGCCUAGCUUUUCUGCUGGGAAGGUUUUUGUUGAUGUUUACUAAGGAAAGGACUGCAACAACUUUCCAUUGCCGUUCCGCUGCCCCAGGCUGCUGCUUCUGUAGCAGGGUCAGUGGAAGGGAAGGUGCUAGUUAAAGUGGGCCUGCAUUUAGGGUGGCAGAUUUCGGGCUGCAACACCCAAGACAACAGAAAAGCUGUGGGGCAGCAGCACCAGGGCAGACUAGAGGUCUUUCACUAGAAUCCUUAGUUUUCUUGGUGUUGCCAUCCAUGCUGUCUCCUAACAGGUUUGAAGGUUCUGGGAAGACACUGUUCUACACUGCAUAAGGAGUUUUUCAUGUUAAAAGCCUUGCCAGCAUGCUCACUCUCUCUCACGUGUUCUGUGCAGAAAUGGUAAAUGCAUGGGAUAAUGCGAAUUUUUGUGUAUGCAGCUUGUUGCCUAAUGUCCCCACCCACAGUGGUAGGCAAGGAGUUUUACUUUAGAUCUGAAAGGCAACAGCAUAAUUCGAUACCCAAAUAGCACUAAUAGUUAACAGUAAACAAAAGGUGAGACUGCUUCAUCAGCUUGACAGGUGUAUGGAAAAUGGAAGUAUUCCAGGAGCAGGAAGCAAGCAGGCAAUGAGUAAUGUUAAUCAGAUGAGAAUUCAAAUGCCAAAUAUGCAUGGAGUGGCAGUCUGUGGACUGAGGAGCAGUCUGCAAUGGGGAUGAUGAAGUAUUUGCCACAUAUAUAAGCUGUUUAUAAGCUUUUCUGUUUUUGCUUUUUCUAGGACCCAGUGAUAUCUUUCUCGAACAAAGGAUAACAAAUUUCCACAGCCAAUGGGACAGCCAACAGAGGAAAUUUCAACGUCAGAGCAGAAAUGAAGACUUUGGGUUGUAGUAUCCCCGUAGCUGUUCAGGAUUCAAAAGGACAUGAAAGCAACUACUUUACUGCCUUGUGUAUGAUUGUGGGAUCCUUCAUUUAGUAACACAGUAGUAAUUUUUUUUUAAUAGGAAAAAAGCCAGGCCUCCGUGAAACUGGCUCAAAAGAAACCUUCCAGAGCAACCUUCUUGUGUUUGAAGCGGAAAGCUCCUGAAAGGGAAAGCUGUGUGGUACCUUUAGAUGACAAUAGGAAGAACUGUGCAGAUGCAAACCUUUACCUCUGAAGCAAUAAAAUCUAGAGUAAGCCACAGAGGAACUUCCUAGAAACCCUGUACCAGAGUACAGUCAUCAUUUUAUAUAAAAUGUGACUCCAAACAUAUCAAAUAUAUGGAAGAAGGGGAAGGUAUGAGAAACGCAAUACCACCUUUCACAGCCUCAUCCACUUCAAAGGAUAGUUUUAAUCAUCUACUCUAAUCUUUCAUCCAUAAGCGGAAAUAAAUACAGCUGUUCUCAGUACUGUGAUUUUUUUUAAAAGCAAGCGAAACCCUU